UACGUAGGGGGCAAGCGUUGUCCGGAUUUAUUGGGCGUAAAGAGCGUGUAGGCGGUUUGGUAGGUCCGCUGUGAAAACUCGAGGCUCAACCUCGAGACGCCGGUGGAAACCAUCAGGCUAGAGUCCGGAAGAGGAGAGUGGAAUUCCUGGUGUAGCGGUGAAAUGCGCAGAUAUCAGGAAGAACACCCGUGGCUAAGGCGGCUCUCUAGUACGGUACUGACGCUGAGACGCGAAAGCGUGGGGAGCGAACCGG
rnacentral:rRNA from 1 species